CAAUAGCGUAUAUUAAAGUUGUUGCAGUUAAAAAGCUCGUAGUUGGAUUUCUGGUGGGAGCGAUCGGUCUGGCGCUUAGCGCGAGUACUUGCAUCGUCUCCGGCCAUCCUUGGGGAGAGUCUGUCUGGCAUUAAGUUGUCGGGCAGAGGAUCCUCAUCGUUUAUUGUGAAAAAAUUAGAGUGUUCAAAGCAGGCUUAUGCCGUUGAAUAUAUUAGCAUGGAAUAAUAAGAUAGGACUUUGGUACUAUUUUGUUGGUUUGCGCACCAAAGUAAUGAUUAAUAGGGACAGUUGGGGGUAUUCGUAUUCCGUUGUCAGAGGUGAAAUUCUUGGAUUUACGGAAGACGAACUACUGCGAAAGCAUUUACCAAGGAUGUUUUCAUUAA
rnacentral:rRNA from 1 species